UUUAAGCAGUGGUGUAUAUAUUACUCCAUGUCGCCAGAUUAUAUUAUGUGAUCAUAGGGUCAAUUAAACACCCAAUGUAUGGACAAAGAUUUCGUAUUAUCUUUAUGUUUUUGAUCUAUUUUGGCGCUAAAAUAUUCAAAAACUGUGUGAAAAUAUUCAUCAAGCGAUAUUUGGAUGUGGCAUUGAGAAGAAGUCAUCAUAUUCUCAAAAUUUUGAAUUCUGAUUUUAGAAAUGUAACAUACGAUACACUAAUUUUUUUUUUUAUGAAAACGUAUUUGCAGAGCAAAUGUUACCCCUUUUAUGAAAAUCUCGUAGUGUACAGAGAAUGAAAAUAUAAACAUUUCUUUUGCAGAAGUCAUUGGUUGGUCUGAAAUUUGACAAACGUGUCAAGAUGUAACAUUCGUGAUGUAACAUUCGUUACCGAGAAAUUAAUUAAAGGGAAUGAUAGAACAAUUUCCAGCGUAUUUUUGCUCUCUCUCUGCAUGAUGUGGUAUACGACAUGAACGUCUACUAUGAACAUUUGAGUUUGAAAGUCAAUACGUGUUAAACUUUGAGAAUUAGGAUUAAUUUUCUCUUACGAAAUGGCGCUUGUGAGAGUAGAAGUACAGAAUAACUACCAUGAAAAAAAAUGUAUUAAAACAUAAGAACAACCAUGAAAAAAUGUUUUAGAAAUAGUAUGAUAUGCUCCCCUUGUGGCAAUACUGAAAAGGUAGAAUGUCUGUAUAGACAGUGAAAAUAAAGGUUUAACUACCGGUCAAAGGCUACCAUAAUGAUACAUGUAAGUUUUGUCUCUCAAAAUACUUAUAAGCAACUGGUCAUUUGAGUAAUUUUGUAUGACCUUUGACCUUGUGACUUGGAAUUCAAUGGGGGUCAUCUAUUCAUAAGGGGCACCAGUGUUUCAAGUUUGAUGUCUAUCAAGGAAAGAUUUCUCAACGGACAAUAGCGUAUGUCCGAGUAGUUUAACCGUUGUCCUUUUGACCUCAAAAUUAAUAGAGGACAUCGUUAAAUAUUUAUUCAUAACACCGCGUGGUGGAUUAUACUGACAGUUUCUAUGGAAAGGUAUUCCAAAAUAAGCAACAAAAACAUAAGAUUCGGUAUACAUUUAAUUAAAAUGUUGGGAAAUUAAACAUUUUCUUUAUAUUAUUAUUGUAAACAGAUUGUUAGAAAUGGGUACAUAUGAUUCUUUCCAUUUUUUGAAUAGAAAUGAUGUUUAUAGUAAUGAAAGGAAAAAUAAGAAACAUACGUUACUUUCAUUGUUUAUUAUAACAAAGAGCAAUCCAGGUUUCAAAACAUGUGUCUGUUAUUUCUAUAAGAAUCAUGAGCAUUUAAAUAGCGAAACAUCAAUCUAUCACUUUUGUUUUAAUCGCACAUUUAUUGCAAAUUAACAAAUUCAGAAGAAAAGACACAUUUGGUAAAAAAUUUUGCUUGUCUACGUUAUAUUUCUAUUAAAAUUGGUAUUUCCAUUGAAUCAAGUGAUGUCGUUAUGAUUUUGCAACAUCAAUCGUAAAGAAUAACUGAUGGUGGCAUCGUUUUGGCACAAUAUUUUCAUGGAUGUACUGUUGUGUAAGUGUUGAAACAUACGUUACAUAAUUAUAGCGCUACUUCAUUUACAUACAAAAAAGCUAUCGUUCUAUAUCUAUUGCUAGUCUUUUGUUUUCAUGUUUCAUACAUAUUGAACUGUUCGAGAAUAUUUGUUAAUCAAUUUUAUUUUUUGCCAUUUCAAAGAUAUUGAAAGUGAUAUCUAGUCGUUUAUUUUGCGCUCUUAAAAUCUUAUUGCUGACUUUUACAGCAGAUAAUUUCUUGUUGUGUUGAUUAAAUAUUUUC